rnacentral:piRNA from 1 species
UGGGUCAGCCUUCUCUAAGCCU